GAUGAAGAACGCAGCGAAAUGCGAUAAGUAAUGUGAAUUGCAGAAUUCAGUGAAUCAUCGAAUAUUUGAACGCACCUUGCACCCUUUGGUAUUCCGAAGGGUAUGCUCGUUUGAGUGUCAUUGUACUCUCACACUUCUAAUUCCUUUCGGGAUUGGGAGCGGUGGACUUGGGUGUUGCUGCUUUAGUUGUGGCUCACCUCAAAUAAGUUAGUGCAACUCUUGGUUGGACAUAGUACGGCGUGAUAAGUGUCUUCGCCGGCGCCUCUGUAAGGAGGGUGGCCGAUCGGGAGCUCUGUGCUUCAAACCGUCUUCGGACAAUCUUUGACAACUUGACCUCAAAUCGAGUAGGACUACCCGCUGAACUUAAGCAUAUCAAUAAGCGGAGGA
rnacentral:misc_RNA from 1 species